GAUGAACGCUGGCGGCGUGCCUAAUACAUGCAAGUCGAGCGAACAGACGAGGACCUUGCUCUUCUGACGUUAGCGGCGGACGGGAGUGUAACACGUGGAUAACCUACCUAUAAGACUGGGAUAAAUUCGGGAAACUGGAGAUAAUACCGGAUAAUAUAUUGUACCGCAUGGUUCAAUAGUGAAAGACGGUUUUGCUGUCACUUUUAGAUGCUUCCGUGUCGCAUUAGCUAGUUGGUAAGGUAACGGCUUACCAAGGCAACGAUGAGUAGCCGACCUGAGAGGGGGAUCGGCCACACUGGAACGGAGACACGGCCCAGACUCCUACGGGAGGCAGCGGUAGGGAAUCUUCCGCAAUGGGCGAAAGCCUGACGGAGCAACGCCGCGUGAGUGAUGAAGGUCUUCGGAUCGUAAAACUCUGUGAUUAGGGAAGAACAAAUGUGUAAGUAACUAUGCACGUCGUGACGGUACCUAAUCAGAAAGCCACGGCUAACUACGUG
rnacentral:rRNA from 1 species